GAAGGAUCAUUGCCGAGUAUCGGGGCCCUCUGGGUUCCUACUCCCACCCUAUGUGUACCAAUCUCAGUUGCUUUGGCGGGUCGUCGGUUUCGACUACCGUUGGCCUUUUAGGCUGGCGAGUACCCGCCGGAGGACCCUUAGAACUCGUUUUAACGGUGGCUCUGAGUGAAUCUUUGAAUAGAAAAAAAACUUUCAACAACGGAUCUCUUGGUUCUGGCAUCGAUGAAGAACGCAGCGAAAUGCGAUAAGUAGUGUGAAUUGCAGAAUUCAGUGAAUCAUCGAAUCUUUGAACGCACAUUGCGCCCCUUGGUAUUCCAUGGGGCAUGCCUGUUCGAGCGUCAUCUACACCCUCAAGCUCUGCUUGGUGUUGGGCGUCUGUCCCGCCUCUGCGCGCGGACUCGCCCCAAAUUCAUUGGCAGCGGUCCUUGCCUCCUCUCGCGCAGCACAUUGCGCUUCUCGAGGUGCGCGGCCCGCGUCCACGAAGCAACAUUACCGUCUUUGACCUCGGAUCAGGUAGGGAUACCCGCUGAACUUAA
rnacentral:rRNA from 1 species